rnacentral:rRNA from 1 species
CUACGGGCCGCUGCAGUGAGGAAUAUUGCACAAUGGAGGAAACUCUGAUGCAGCAACGCCGCGUGGAGGAUGACACUUUUCGGAGCGUAAACUCCUUUUAUAUAGGAAGAAGAUGACGGUACUAUAUGAAUAAGCGCCGGCUAACUCCGUGCCAGCAGCCGCGGUAAUACGGAGGGCGCAAGCGUUACUCGGAAUCACUGGGCGUAAAGAGCGUGUAGGCGGAUUAAAAAGUCAGAAGUGAAAUCCUAUAGCUUAACUAUAGAACUGCUUCUGAAACUCUUAAUCUAGAAUAUGGGAGAGGUAGAUGGAAUUUCUGGUGUAGGGGUAAAAUCCGUAGAGAUCAGAAGGAAUACCGAUUGCGAAGGCGAUCUACUAGAACAUUAUUGACGCUGAGACGCGAAAGCGUGGGGAGCAAACAGGAUUAGAUACCCGCGUAGUC